CCCGCUCCUGCCAUGGCGGCGCUGCGGGACGUCUUUCGGCGGCCUUUCGGCGGCCCGCUCGCGGUGGGUUUCAGUUCCCCGGGCAGCGAGCCGACGGCAGCGGUGGUGUCUGUCAGCGCCUGUCCUGCGCCCCCGGCCUGCCGAAGAUCCCUUUGGAAGCGAAAAAACUGCUUUGAAGCAUCUAGGGGAAGCAGGCGGGAAUUUACUAUAAAUUCCUCACAGGUACAGCAGCUCUACAGAAGCAGCUUAAUUUCCUCCCGGCCGGCUGCAGGCAGUCAGCACAGCCACUCACCUCCGCGAGGCGCUGCCCCCCGAGCUCUGCUGCUGGCCGCGCUCGGUGCGGGACACGCGGUGCAGAAAGUGCCAUUUAGGAGUCUGCGCCAUACGGAUCGCGGGGCCAUUAUAAAGCCGGGCUGUGUCUGUGCUGUGUGUUCUCUGAGCUUGUUGGAGUGUCUGUGUUCACCUUUCUGUUUCGAGCGGUAGUGCGAAAAUCAUCGUUAACUUCAACACGUAUAAUUUGUGUUUCCUUUUCAGACCCUUUGUGGCGUAUCAUAAUGCUGGCCAAUCUCGUAUUUUUUCUUUGCCUGGCUAUUAAUGCUGCUUCUUAGCUUCUUCUCAUUCUCUAGUCAUACACGAUCCUGCCCCUCUGUGCUGUGGGGCCUCACCUGGAGUACUGCUUACAGAUGUGGAGUCCUCAGUACAGGAGAGACACGGACCUGUUGGAGGGUGUCCAGAGGAGGGCCACAAAAAUAAUCCCAGGGAUGGAACACCUCUCCUGUGAGGACAGGCUGGGAGAGCUGGGGCUGUUCAGCCUGGAGAAGGCACUGGGGAAACCUGAGAGUGGCCUUUCAGUAUCUAAAGGGGGGCUGUAAGAAGGAAGGGGACAGACUUUUUAGUAGGGUCUGUUGUGAAUUGGAAUUUCACACUUGGAAUUUCAUCACCCUAAUAGAAAUCAGGAGAGGGAAAUUGGUUUUGUGUGCCUCUGCAGAUGGUCAGCAGUGGACAGGACCCAGUGACAGACAUGGAAGAGUUUGGUGCUUCUGACAACUGCGGAGCGUCGCUGAGGAUCCCAGAGCUGUGACUGCAGUUUUCCAAUUCCCAGGCUGUCUUGGCAGUAGAGGAAAUGUGAAGAAGAGCUAUGUGUCAUUUGAAUAGUGCUGUCAUCUUACCAAUUACUACUAUAGCUGCUGUACACAGGUGUUGCAAGGUCAUACCUUCACCCAUCCGAGGCAAAGACAUGAUGUUAUCUGCCUGAAAAUAUCUGUCUGGGCAAUCCUUCAACAAGACUUCUCCCACACAUCAAUCCAACUUUCUUUUUUCUCCUGUAACUUCUUGCUUCUUUCAUGUUGCACAAGAGGUUCCCUAAAACAUUAAUUUUUCCUCCUCCAAAUUCCUACAGUAAGUACCACUUUGUCUACAAAAUCCUUCUCAGUAAUUAAGAAGCUCAUAUGUUACAACCUCUGCUUGGUAUGAUAAUUACCCUACUGCUAGCUCUCCCUGUUGACUGUGUUCAUCUUCCAUCCAUUGCCAUUAGCUUGAAUUGAAUAGAAUUUGGAGUGGUAUGAAGUGCCUCACACAGAGAAGAACCAGCAUUUUGAAGGGCCUGCAGGUGCUGCUACCUGAAGGUUAGUUUAACAACUGAAAAUACUCUAUCGUGAAUGGCCUCAAUAUAUCAUUCAGGUUGUUUGCAUUUCUAAUGCCUAUUUUGAAGCCUUGUGUGAAGUGGAAAGUGGAGGUGAUAAUUCAUUAGCAAGCAAAAUCUAGAAGUAAGGUAUUAUGAAAAAAAAAAACCUUUUAUGGAGGGAAGAUGGAGAACUUAAUGCUCAAGGUAAACAGUUUCAAUUAGGAAGUUCUUUGAAGUAUGAUGAGAGCAGUCCAAAAAGAAUCAUACAGACUGCCAAAAUAAAGACCGAAAAACAUUGAAAUUUAUGGAGCUUUUAAGGGCCAUUAACUUAAAGGCCGUUGCCUUUCUUUUUUCUUUCCCCCAUUCUAUUUUAAGAAAUGGAAAGGUGUUUAUUUUUCCCUUGGUCAAUUAGUCUGCAAUAGGAGAAAGGUAGAGAGACAUAUUUUGUAGAUGCUAUGAGAAUUUUAGACAGAGAAAACUCUUCUUCUGACCGAGUUUCUCUCUUAAAAAAAUAAAGUAUAUUAAGAGCUGUAAACAGUCAGGAAUUGUGCUAUAUAUAUAUGUGUGUCUAGAAUGUUAGGUAAAACUUUAAUCACUGAAUUUGUGGGGUAACUGUGGAAUACAUUUAUACCUUUUGCUUCUCUGUUAGAAGUUUGGAAGUUAGAUGUCCUGUUGAUGGAAGCUGUUUAGAAGUUUGAUGCCUGAAGCUUGGCAGCACUGCACACAAAACAGGAUGUUGCUGCCCACAGGUCCAGUGUCUCUAUCUUUGAGUGGCAGCAUUUGAUUUUUGCAGGGACAGUAAAGAGCAAGUGUUGCAGGGACUUGGUGUCUGAGCUGGGGGGAUAAUUACAUAUUUCUGCCCCCACCCAUAAUUAUCUCAGGAGGCAUUUCACCUCCAGGGUUUGAAAGACCUUUCUGUGUACUGGCGCUAGCACAGUGUGGAUGGGAAGAGGAAAACAACCAAGGCAGCCUGCACACAGAGCCUGAAUUAUUACCUGCCAGUGGGGCCAGCAGCUCUCACUGCUCUCCCAAGGCUGCAGAGCAGCAGAGAUGCUGCAUGGUGCUGGGUGGGACCACCUCCUGCAGCACGGCUGC
ensembl:lncRNA